UACGGAGGGGGCUAGCGUUGUUCGGAAUUACUGGGCGUAAAGCGCGCGUAGGCGGCUUUGUAGGUUAGAGGUGAAAGCCCGGAGCUCAACUCCGGAAUUGCCCUUAAGACUGCAUCGCUAGAAUCAUGGAGAGGUGAGUGGAAUUCCGAGUGUAGAGGUGAAAUUCGUAGAUAUUCGGAAGAACACCAGUGGCGAAGGCGACUCACUGGACAUGUAUUGACGCUGAGGUGCGAAAGCGUGGGGAGCAAACAGG
rnacentral:rRNA from 1 species